rfam:Triticum aestivum genome assembly, contig: Triticum_aestivum_CS42_TGACv1_scaffold_593519_7BS
CUUCUACUCCCUCCGUUCGGAAUUACUUGUCGCGAAAAUAGAUGUAUCUAGAUGUAUUUUAGUUCUAGACACAUCUAUUUCCAAAACAAGUAAUUUUGAACGGAGAAAGUAUAAU